AGCAGCCGCGGUAAUUCCAGCUCCAAUAGCGUAUAUUAAAGUUGUUGCAGUUAAAAAGCUCGUAGUUGAAUUUCGGGAUCAGUAUGUUGGUCGUGCUUCGGUACGUACUGUCAUUACUGGUUUCUACCUUCUGAAGAACCUUGAUGUCAUUAAUUUGGUGUCUUGGGGAAUCAGGACUGUUACUUUGAAAAAUUAGAGUGUUUAAAGCAGGCAUACGCUUGAAUACAUUAGCAUGGAAUAAUGAAAUAGGACGUUUGAUUCUAUUUUGUUGGUUUCUAGGAUCGACGUAAUGAUUAAUAGGGAUAGUUGGGGGCAUUAGUAUUCAAUUGUCAGAGGUGAAAUUCUUGGAUUUAUUGAAGACUAACUACUGCGAAAGCAUUUGCCAAGGAUGUUUUCAUUAAUCAAGAACGAAAGUUAGGGGAUCGAAGACGAUCAGAUACCGUCGUAGUCUUAACCAUAAACUAUGCCGACUAGGGAUCGGAUGAUGUUAUUUUUAAUGACUCAUUCGGCGCCUUAAC
rnacentral:rRNA from 1 species